UACGGGGGGAGCAAGCGUUGUUCGGAUUUACUGGGCGUAAAGGGCGCGUAGGCGGCCUCCGCAGGUCAAUUGUGAAAUCUCCGGGCUUAACUCGGAAAGGUCAACUGAUACUGCGGGGCUAGAGUGCGGAAGGGGCAACUGGAAUUCUUGGUGUAGCGGUGAAAUGCGUAGAUAUCAAGAGGAACACCUGCGGCGAAGGCGGGUUGCUGGGCCGACACUGACGCUGAGGCGCGAAAGCUAGGGGAGCGAACGGG
rnacentral:rRNA from 1 species